rnacentral:rRNA from 1 species
CUGGCGGCAUGCUUUACACAUGCAAGUCGAACGGUAACAGGUCUUCGGAUGCUGACGAGUGGCGAACGGGUGAGUAAUGCAUCGGAACGUGCCCAGUCGUGGGGGAUAACGCAGCGAAAGCUGUGCUAAUACCGCAUACGAUCUAUGGAUGAAAGCGGGGGAUCGCAAGACCUCGCGCGAUUGGAGCGGCCGAUGUCAGAUUAGCUAGUUGGUGGGGUAAAGGCCCACCAAGGCGACGAUCUGUAGCUGGUCUGAGAGGACGACCAGCCACACUGGGACUGAGACACGGCCCAGACUCCUACGGGAGGCAGCAGUGGGGAAUAUUGCACAAUGGGCGCAAGCCUGAUGCAGCCAUGCCGCGUGUAUGAAGAAGGCCUUCGGGUUGUAAACUGCUUUUGUACGGAACGAAAAGGUCUGGGUUAAUACCCUGGGCUCAUGACGGUACCGUAAGAAUAAGCACCGGCUAACUACGUG